rnacentral:rRNA from 1 species
AGUGAACGCUGGCGGCGUGCUUAACACAUGCAAGUCGAACGAGAACGGGAUAUAGCUUGCUAUAUUUGUCAGCUAAGUGGCGCACGGGUGAGUAAUAUAUAGGUAACGUGCCCUUAAGAGGGGGAUAACAGUUGGAAACGACUGCUAACACCCCAUAUGCCCUUAUCACAUAAGUGAGCAAGGGAAAUAUUUAUAGCUUAAGGAUCGGCCUGUACAGUAUCAGUUAGUUGGUGAGGUAAUGGCUCACCAAGACAAUGACGCUUAACUGGUUUGAGAGGAUGAUCAGUCACACUGGAACUGAGACACGGUCCAGACUCCUACGGGAGGCAGCAGUGGGGAAUAUUGCACAAUGGGGGAAACCCUGAUGCAGCAACGCCGCGUGGAGGAUGACACAUUUCGGUGCGUAAACUCCUUUUAUAUAAGAAGAUAAUGACGGUAUUAUAUGAAUAAGCUCCGGCUAACUCCGU